AUUGAACGCUGGCGGAAUGCUUUACACAUGCAAGUCGAACGGCAGCACGGACUUCGGUCUGGUGGCGAGUGGCGAACGGGUGAGUAAUGUAUCGGAACGUGCCCAGUCGUGGGGGAUAACGUAGUGAAAAUUACGCUAAUACCGCAUACGAUCUAUGAAUGAAAGCGGGGGAUCGCAAGACCUCGCGCGAUUGGAGCGGCCGAUAUCAGAUUAGGUAGUUGGUGGGGUAAAGGCCCACCAAGCCAACGAUCUGUAGCUGGUCUGAGAGGACGACCAGCCACACUGGAACUGAGACACGGUCCAGACUCCUACGGGAGGCAGCAGUGGGGAAUUUUGGACAAUGGGCGAAAGCCUGAUCCAGCCAUUCCACGUGCAGGAUGAAGGCCCUCGGGUUGUAAACUGCUUUUGUACAGAACGAAAAGGUUUCUACUAAUACUAGGAGCUCAUGACGGUACUGCAAGAAUAAGCACCGGCUAACUACGUGCCAGCCGCCGCAGUAA
rnacentral:rRNA from 1 species